rnacentral:rRNA from 1 species
AGUAACGCGUGGGUAACCUGCCCUUAAGUCUGGGAUACCAUUUGGAAACAGAUGCUAAUACCGGAUAAAAGCUACUUUCGCAUGAAAGAAGUUUAAAAGGCGGCGUAAGCUGUCGCUAAAGGAUGGACCUGCGAUGCAUUAGCUAGUUGGUAAGGUAACGGCUUACCAAGGCGAUGAUGCAUAGCCGAGUUGAGAGACUGAUCGGCCACAUUGGGACUGAUACACGGCCCAAACUCCUACGGGAGGCAGCAGCC